rnacentral:lncRNA from 1 species
GCACUCGCCGGCGAGGCUGCACGGCGCCGGUUUCAUUGCUAAAAUCCGACGGACUUGUUGCAGAACUCGUUUUUUUUGUCGGGAAAGGGCUUCCCCGUGUAACUUUACAGCAGUUAUCGUAGAUAAGACUUGCAAAUUACAGAUGUGGACGGUGAGGGAACGGGAAUUUCACUGAAAGCGCCUGAGAACCAGUAAGAGACCUGCAACAGCUUUGUGCUCCACUGGCGAAUGCUUCCUCCCCUAAUACACAUUAUGUGUGCUUGGAGACACAAGGAGUAAGAUACAGCCCCUCAAGGGACUCGUCAUAGGGAGAGGACACAGCUUUGGGAAUAAAGGGGCCACAAAGGAGGAGAGAGGAGUUUGCUGAAACUUCCCAAGCUCCCAUUCCAGCAGUUCCUGAAGGAUUCAUUUCUCUCUGAGGAUCUCAUGAGGUGGCUUAGCAGCUAGAAUCUCUUCCUUAACAGUGGGAAGAACAACUCCUGGAAAUUUAGGUCGACUUUGACUGGAUUUAAAAGAAAGCUGUACAAUUCCACUUCUGUAUAUACAACCAAAGGAAAUGAGAUGUGCAUACCCAUGUUCAAUGAAGCAUUAUUCACAAUAGCCAAAAUGUGGAACCAAUCCUUAAACAAAAGGAAAACAGAAAAUCUGCUCAAGGCACCUGAGAAAAUCACAACCCACACUUGCGAACCCCUAGGAGACCUAAAGCUGUGGUUUUACAAAUAAACAGAUAAGUAACAUUCCUACUCUUUCCUAUAGGUACUCAAUCUUCUUAACAACUCCCAUCCCACACAGGUUUGCAUCCCCAGCAGAUACAUAUGGCUAUGUGGUCACCCAUUCGAUCAGCCUAUAAAAGACUUGUCUUAUUUGAUAUUGUGAAACCCAUGGUUAUCAGUGUAUAUGAAAAUGUUUGGUUCAGGGGUCAAUGUACAAUAUGACAAGCAAAGUCCUCUAAUACACAGUUAUAUAAAAUCACUCACCUGAGAGCCAAGUGGACAAUUGGCCUUAUAUUGGCUGGAGUUGGAGCCCCAGAGGGAAAAUUUGCCUAUUAUUAGGCAACUCUUCAAAACUUUACUUAUUCGUUUCUAAACACUGUCUCAUAAAAUGGGGGAUGCUUUAGAUGAAUUAAGAUUAGCACUAGAUUACUUAUUCGUUGAAAAUUAGCACUAGAUUUCUUAUUGGUUGAACAAGGAGGAGUGUGCACCAUAAUCAAUAUAACCUGCUGCAGUUAUGUAAACACCUCAGGUCACAUAGAAGAAGAUAUACAGAAAAUACAUGAACAAGCUGUGUGGUUGCGUAAAUAUAACCAAGGCACCAAUCCCAACUGUAUCUGGUCAGCCAUUAGAAGCACCCUCCUGAGUCUCACUUGGUUGUUGCCCUUCCUAGGAACUUUGAUAGUUGUCUUAUUAUUAAUCUUUGGCCCUUGCUUGUUUAAAUUCUUGGUAAAGUUUGUGUUUUUUAGAUUACAACAAUUCCACAUAAAGAUGAUACUGACACAAAGCUUCCAAUCCAUCCCGUCUUCUGAACCGGGAAAUAAAGACACCCUGCCUUUAGGUGUCUUUAGAUCUAGAUCAGGCAUCUAGAGAUUUUUACUCCUCCAAUACUUGGCAGGGUCUAUGCCCGUAGACUCAUCAGGAUACCAUGUAAAUGAGGACCUCCCUUGGUACCCCAGAGGCCAACUGUAGACCCUUAUGAGAAAAUCCUGUCCCCAAAAUGAACAUCCACUGUCAGCAGGAAGAAGUUACAGAAGACCAGCCUUUGCCCUUACGAUUAAGGGUCCUCUUGUAAGUAGAGAGGGGAAUGUUAGGAAAGCAGGAGCCUAGGUGAUCCAGAGUGACACCAUUUUAAAAUAAACUCCACCUGAAAACUAGCAAGGCAUCUGCACACAUCUGUUUAGCAAGUAUAUACUUCUGUAACUGGAAUAAAAAGCGUUAUUUUAGAAUAUGCCUAUAGUUUGUAAUAAUUAGCCGAGGGAAAAAAAGUUCACAUUGGUGUAGGAAAAGUGCCCUAAUGGUCAUGGGUAAUAAUGGGACCGUGGUUCUGGUCAGUGAUUUGAUGGAAGGGGUGUAGAUAAUAUAUUGUUGUAAAUAAUAAAAAUAAAAAAUUGUUGUAAGUAAUAAAAAUAAAAUAAUAUUGUUGUAAGUAAUAAAGUAGGAGAAAUAUUUGGUCUUUUGCUUUUGGGUUAGUGCAACAGUAGUACCAUUACUUGGAGGAGAAGUUAGAGAAGGACAAGAAUAGGCUUGAAUAAGAUGAGUGAGAAGAGAGAAAAAUUCCGUAAGUGGAGAUGGCCAGGGAACACCAGGGCAGCAGAAUCUAACUCUGAAUUUAAUGCUGUUGUCUGUUCAUAUUGCACUGCGCUGUAAUCUCCCUAUCUUUCCUAAACCAUUGGCAAAGUCUGCUAUCCACUGGGGCCUUGGGUCGGUGGUGCUUUGGGAAAUACCAGAAGAGGGAAAGUACGGCAAAUGUGCAGUGUCACAGAUGAUAGGAGGAAAGCUGGCCAGUGGGAUGAUUAAAACAAUUUCGGUGGGAGUGGGAAUUCAGACCAUGUAAAUGGUCUGAAUUAAGAAAAUUUCAAGAAACAAAAAAUGUUUCUAAUGAGCCAAAGUGAAAGCUCUUCAUGAUUUCUUUAUAGAGGCUCUCUAGUGCUUGUCCUAAUUUCCUGAAAUCUCAUGGGUAUCUUACUCUCCUGGUGCCCGCCUCAAACAUUCACUGUAGCAAUUAUAUGAGCAGCCUAGAGAAUCCCAAUCCCAGUGGUCUUGCUCCCUGGAUCUACUUUCUCUUAAAAAUCAUUCCCCUAAGUUUCCGUCACUUGGUUGAAGUUUAGUAGAUAUCUCCACAUCUCCAGCUAGAACAGCACCAGAAUUUCAGGACUAGGGCAAUAGAGUCUGAUAUUAAAUUCUAUUUCUAUCUAUCUAUCUAUCAUCUAUCUAUCUAUCUAUCUAUCUAUCUAUCUAUCUAUCUAUCUAUCUACAGAACAAUUUGUGGGAUAGUAGCUUUGGGGUCCCAGAUCUAGGAUGGGCCUGGUCCUCCAUGCUGGUUCUCCUGGGUGAUAUUUCUGUUAGUUUGAACAGUAAUCACACUUUUAUUACUGUUUCAUCUUUUUUUUUUCACUCUUAGACUGAUUUUAUCAUGUGUAUAAAACAUACACACACCUACAUCUCAAGGAUAAACAUUAAUCCUUGAAAAAUAUGUGGUCUAAAACUAUAUUGAGGAGAGAAAGAUAGGACACUUUAAUUGCCACAUGAUUAACACGAGGUCACCACACAGCUUUCACAAAUCUACAAGUCAUUCUAUUUAGGCUGAGUCAAGUUCUCCCUUGGGCCAGCCAGAGCACAAAUAAUGGAGCAAUGUGACUCUUCAAUGACAGAUCUCUGAUUUCCAGAAAAGAGACUUUGAAAUACCCAAUUCUAGUAAAUAUGCAAUUAAAUUUCCAGCUAAAUGACCUUUGCUCCUGUAGUCUUCAUCUUGGGGAAGGGAAAGAAGUCUUAUUCUGUUUAAUAGUUUGAUUUUUAUAAUAGGGUUUGUCUCUGUUAUAAAUCUUGUUUGAUAUUUAAAAUGUUAGCUAAGAGAAAACUUCUGUUUGUUUUUAUUUAGUGGGAAGAAACUAACCCUCAUUGAGUGCCUAGUUAACAUCAGGCACUUUGUACACAUAAUCAAUUGAAUCUUGACCACAACCCUGUGAGAUCCAUGGAUGAUUCUGGGUUUAGUUCUUUGUGAGACUGCCAGAAACUCCCAGAGGCUGGAUCUAUGCAUAAAGAGAGGCCAUUGGAGAGAAUGUCUACUGAAUUGCUGAAGACAAUUGCUACCGAGAAUAGAUCGUAACUUAGGAAGAAACAAUUCAGUACCAAAAGAGUAAUUGGAGCCCUUCUGGAAAACACUAGUAAGGUGAAAAAUGAGAAGAUUAAAUAAGCCAUGGGAAGAUUUUUUAAAAUGACAUGAAACUCCAAGGGUAAAAAGUAGGCAUUUCCACCUUUCCCUGCUUCAUCCAUACCUCCAAAAACAGAACCCUUCAAAGAACGUCCUGAGAAGAACAACUGGCCACUGAUUUUGAGUUGAACACUGGCAGGCAACACCCCAACAACCACACAGACCCCAUAGCUCUCAUUGCAGGAGGCGAGGGCAGCUGCCUGUUAGAAAGUGAUGCAAUACAGUAUAGGGGUUAAAAGAUGUAUGUGAGGAUUGAGCCUACAUCUUAAUUUCAGCUUAACUCCUAAAUGGUCUAUGACUUUCUUUUCUGAUUCUCCCUAUUCUCAUUUGAAGUAACAUUUAUCUUGUAAGGAUGCUAUGAAACACAUAUAAGACGUUGUAUGUUGCUUAGUAUAGUACCUGGCACUUUAGGACUCAAUAAAUGGAAAUAACAAAAAUGAAAAUAGUAAAAACAUCCACAGUAGUGAUAAUAAUAAAAAUAAUUUUUAUAAAAAUUAUUACUGAUGCAGGUGGCUGGUAAGAAUUGACAUUUUUCUUUUAGACAUCUAAGAAGACAGAUAUUUAUAUAAUAAGAUGAUAGCAAAGUGAGAAACAGAUACCGUUACAUUCGUUAUGUUCAAAGGCUAUUUCUCAGAGUAAGAGUGUGAGAAAGGUUUUGCUGUUUCUUCUUACAGAUAAAGGAAUUUAUGUAUGGUGAAUCAUGAAAAGAUUUUUUAUGCUGGGAAAAGGGCCCAAGUUGGAAGAGGCAGUUGUUGAGUUUCCAUACAGCUGACUAGACGAUAGAGCCAUGCAACCUAAUAAUACAUUAUUUCUUCAAAUCCCCAAAGAAAACAAGCCUUAGAUUUUUAAGUAACUUCCCCUCACUUUCUAUUCUUUUAUAUAAACCACGUUUAGCCAGAAAAACCACCACUUUUUUUCCCCUUCAUUUUUGAAAUGAACCCGUUUAAUCGUGACUAGUAAAUAUUUUUCUUGGAAACUUAUCUCAGAUCUGACAUGAAAGACGACUGAAAGUGAAAAGCACAUUGAUUUAUAAGGUCAUUAAUCAAAUUUUAAUCUUAUCUUGCUUAAAACUUCUGGCUUUGAAAUUAUAUGAAAGUUCUAGAUUUAGUAUCUGGGAUAGUGAACAAAUUUGUAAGAGUACACAGACGGCACCAGCUGAGAUGUCAUGGAACACAAGGAAAAUUAAAUAGAGCAAAGUGGAGGGAAUUUUAGAAAGCUCAUUCAACUAUAAUCUAAACGAUGACUGGUAAAAGUAUUGGUAAUUUUCACUCCAGAGGAUUACAUACCAGAACGUCCAGAUUUCCAAUGGCCUCAAAGCAGAAGUCUAUACCAGCAUCUGUCAUAUCAAAUAAAACUUCUUGAAUGGGUUUCUUUAAGUCCUGAGGGUUGAGGCACUCAGUAGCACCCAAUUCCUGUGCCUUCUUAAAUUUCUCCUUGUUGACAUCCACUCCAAUGAUCCUGGCUGCUCCUGCUGCUUUACAACCCAUGACAACAGACAAGCCGACUCCUCCCAGGCCAAACACAGCACAGGUAGAACCUGGAGUCACCUAAACACAUACAGGCAGAAAACUCAGAAAACAAAAAGCAAAGAGAACAUACACCUUUACUCAGUUGGGAAGGCUAAGUCUAUAUGCAUGUAUUUUUUAACGAGUCAUAAGCAAAUGAUGUUUACAUACAUAACAUAUUAUAACUACAAAGUUUUGAUUUUUCAAAAAUAUUUCUAGAUAUGGAAUACUCUUGGCACAGGAACAAAAAACUGCCUGAAAGUAGAGUUUCAAGUCCCAGGAAUUAGUCUGAGUAGUAGUUUAAAUGAAUUUGCAUUGAAUAUUAAGACUUACUUGACAGUGUAUUUAAUUCCAGAUAUUUUUGAGUUCUUUAAAAUUAUCUCUAUCUUCCUACAACCAUUUCUCUCUGUCUCUCUCUCUCUCUCUCGGUAUCUGUAAAUUUUUCAUAACUUAUCGGGUCAAUACCUUGUGAAGGCAAAGGCUUUUUUUUUAUUGAGUACUGUCCUACAUAGGACUAAUUUAAAUAAUUUUUUUCCAUUCUAUCUCUCUGUAUAGUAUUGGGACUGAUGGACACUGGAAAAUGCAAAGUUCUAAAAUUCAACAGCACCUUUAGGAAGGGAGCCGGGAAGGUUUGAGUGAUGUUUUAGAAAUAAGAGUUCAAUAGCAGCCCAUUCAGCCAGAGUGGGAUCCCCUGGUCAAUCUGUCUAAUGUAGUAACACCUACUUCAUCACUUGGUUCCUUUACUCUCCUUUUCUUUUUAUUAGCAUUUAUCACUACCUAAUAUAUCAUGCAAUAUAAUAUUAGCUUCAUGAGUUUUGUUAGCUGCUGAAUUCUAGCACCUGGGACAGUGAAUGGCUCCGAAAAUAUUUGUCUAAGGAAAGAAAGGAUAAACUGGAAUAUGAAAGGCCACAGAGUCAUGUUGUAACUAUGUUAGAUUUAAUUUCCAGUAAUUCCUGAUCUUUCCACUUGUGAAUGGCAUCCAGACUUAAUCUGUCUUUUACUACUCACCAAGAGGGAAUGGGAAAAAUGUUGAAGGGGGUGUGGGAUGACUAGGUAGAUAGCAGAGAACUCAAGGAUGUUUGGAGUCAGGCUUGGGAUUUUUCCUUUGGUAUGAUAAGAGAUGACAAAGAUGCAAGAGGCCUUUCAACUCCAUAUCCCAAUAAUUCCCUUCCAAAUGGGUAUAAAUGCCCCUCACCUUGGCAGUAUUGAUUGCAGCACCAAACCCAGUGGAAAAGCCACAGCUAAUUAGGCAUACUUUCUCUAGAGGAGCGACUGCAUCAAUCUUGGCAACUGAGAUUUCCUUUAUCACUGUGUAUUCACAGAAGGUGCUGGUAUUACCAAAGUGAUAUAUUGAUUUUCCCUUGCAGGUAAACCUGCUGGUACCAUCAGACAUCAGUUGGGUUUUUGACUGUCUUUUAUAGACAAAACAAAAAACAAAACACAAAGUUUAUUUUGAAUUAGAAAGCUUAGAUCUUCUCCAAUGAAAGUGAAUUAAGUUUUCAAAAAGAAAAUAUUAGUAAAAACUUACUUGAAUUGUAUACAAAAAUUGCCCUCAGAAUUCAGGCAAGAGGUACAUUCUCCACACUGUGGCAGAAAGAGUGUGAUAACUUUGUCACCUAAAAGAGCAAAAUCAUGUCUUAUUAACAUAUUAUUUUUUAAAGUAAAGACAUAGCUGUCUUUCAGGAUUUUGACAGCAAGGCACCCAAGAAGAAAUGACAGCUGAAAAUUAUUUCCACAUUCAGUUGUGCUUGAUACCACAAAGAAUAUCAAAUACUUACAAAAAGAGAGAAUGUCUUUAGCAUCUGGGCCCAGCCCUGGGCUCAGUGGCUGAAUCUUGAGGAACUGGCCCCAGAUUUGCCUCUUUUGUAAGCUCCUUUUCAAGUAUGAAAUAGUUUUUUGUCAUAUAUCCAUUCAGUCAAGUCUUAUCUCUUCUCAACAUUUUCAACACUAAUUUCCUCUCUCAGGGAUUGAAUUUAAAAUAGUAUGGAUACCACAUACUAACAGAGUAAGCUCUGGAUUAGGGAGAAAAAAAAUUGCUUCUAUGCUGUUCUCUGUGUUUGACAUCAACCCUUUCUUCUUGACCUUAGAGAUCAAAGGUAGGCAGAUUUCUCUAGUAGUGGUCAAAGUAUCAGGACAUGAUUAGAAGAGCUUGCCUGUGAUGUAUUUUACUGGCUGCCCCCAUGGUCUAACACUGUAAACCAGAGAAAUUUGUUUUAUACUUUUAGUUAAAAACCUUAUGAAGAUUUAGUUUCUUCUAUUUUAUUUAUUUUUAUUUUUUUAAAAAGUAACACAUACAUAUGGUAAAAAUUUAAACUGCACAAAAGUGAAAAUUAUUACUCUAUUCCCCAGUUCCCCAUCUUAGAGACAGGUACUCUGACCAGUAACCACGAUAUUUUUCAGCACUGUAACCCCUUUAAAAAUGCAAAGGUAAGCAUGCUAUCUACCCUGGUUUGGGCCUAGCUUUUUUACUUAACACUGUAUCAUGGAGCUUUCUAUUUUAGUACAUAUAGUGCUCCAUCAUUAACCAGUGCCAUGAACACUGAUAGAUAUUUAGGUUGUUCUUUGUUUCUCUACACCCCAACACUAAAACCAGUAAUGCAAUGAGUAUCUUAUUGUAGACAGAGUUCUAAAAUGCCCUCCGAAAGAUAUCCUGCACAAAUCCCUAGAAACUGUGACUAUGUUGUGGUGUCAUGCCUGUGAGUAUGUUAUGCUACAUGGCAAGGGGUACUCUGUAGAUGUAACUAAGUUCACUAAUCAGUUGUCAUUAAGAUAGGGAGAUUAUACUGAAUUAUCCAGGUGGACCCAAGGUAAUCACAUGAGCCAUCAAAAGAAGAAGAGCAGAUGAAGGCAGAAGAGGAAGUAAAAGUGACUUAACACCUGUGGAAGGAUUUAGUGGGCCAUGGCUGCUUCGAGGCUGGAAGGUGCCACAGAAGAAGAAAUGUGAGCAAUUUCAGGGAGCCGACCACUGGUGAGGAAAUAAGGAUCUCAGUCCUAUAGCCUCAAGGAAUUGGAUUCUGAAAACUACUUGAAUGAACUUGGAAGUGGAUUUUUCUCCAGAGGCUCCAGAUAAGGACCCAGCUGGCUACUCGCUUGAUUUUGACCUUGAAACGUGAGCAGAAAACUCAGCCAAGCCCACUCAGAUUUCUGACCUAUAGAAACUGAGAUAAUAAACUUGUGUUGUUUUAAACUGUUAUAUUUGUGGUGAUUUUUUCCAGCAGCAAUAGAAAAUGAGUACAUGAACAUAUAUCUAUGGAAUAAGUUUCUAGAAUUGAAACUGUUGUGUCCAAGAAUAUAUAAAUUUAAAUGAUAUUACAUAUUGCUGCAUUUAGAGUCGAGCAAAUCUACGUUCCAAACAAUAAGAUAUGAGGGAGCUGUCUGCCUAUAUUCUUGUGAACUCUAUAUAUUAUCAAACUUCUUAAUCUUUGCCGAUCUGCUAGGGAAAAAGUGUUUUUUCAUUGCAUUUUAAAAUUUUAUCGUAAAUUGACAAAUUAUAUAUUUAUGGGGUACAAUGUGAUAUUAUGUGUAUAUAAUAUGGGAUGAUUAAAUCAAAGUAAUUAACAUGUUAAACACUUGAAGACUUAUAUUUUGUGGUAAGAACAUUUGAAAUGUAUACUCUUAGCAAUUUUGAAAUAUAGUAUAAUUCAUUAUUAUCAACUGUGAUCACCAUGCUGUUCAAUAGAUCUCAAAAAACUUAUUUUUCCUAUCUAGCAGAAAUUUUAUACCAUUUGACC